AUUGAACGCUGGCGGCAGGCCUAACACAUGCAAGUCGAACGAGUGGCGGACGGGUGAGUAAUGUCUGGGAAAAUGCCUGAGGGAGGGGGUUAAAUACGGGAAACGGAAGCUAAUACCGCACAGCUUCAGAUGGGCCCAGAUGGGAUUCGCUUGUUGGUGGGGUAACGGCUCACCAAGGCGCAGAACACUAGCUGGUCUGAGAGGAUGAACAGCCACACUGGAACUGAGACACGGUCCAGACUCCUACGGGAGGCAGAAGUGGGGAAUAUUGCACAAUGGGCGCAAGCCUGAUGCAGCCAUGCCGCGUGUAUGAAGAAGGCCUUCGGGUUGUAAAGUACUUUCAGCGGGGAGGCGUUACCCGCAGAAGAAGCACCGGCUAACUCCGUGCCAGCAGCCGCGGUAAUAC
rnacentral:rRNA from 1 species